AAUCAACGCUGGCGGCGUGCCUCAGACAUGCAAGUCGAACGCGAAAGCCCCCUUCGGGGGGCGAGUAGAGUGGCGCACGGGUGAGUAACACGUAGGUAAUCUACCUUUGGAUGGGGAAUAACAACCGGAAACGGUUGCUAAUACCGCAUAAUGCAGCGGCACCUAAUGGUGACAGUUGUUAAAGCGGGGGAUCGCAAGACCUCGCGUCUGAAGAGGAGCCUGCGGCAGAUUAGCUAGUUGGUAAGGUAACGGCUUACCAAGGCGAUGAUCUGUAGCCGGCCUGAGAGGGCGGUCGGCCACACUGACACUGACAUACGGGUCAGACUCCUACGGGAGGCAGCAGUGGGGAAUAUUGCACAAUGGGCGCAAGCCUGAUGCAGCCAUGCCGCGUGUAUGAAGAAGGCCUUCUGGUUGUAAAGUACUUUCAGCGGGGAGGAAGGCGAUAAGGUUAAUAACCUUGUCGAUUGACGUUACCCGCAGAAGAAGCACCGGCUAACUCCGUGCCAGCCGCCGCAGUAAUAC
rnacentral:rRNA from 1 species